rnacentral:rRNA from 1 species
GUCGGAUAUCCGACCGCCGACAUCCAGCACAGGCUUCCUGCUCCAGGGCAGGUCAUCCCUACACCGAAACCCAAUGAGAGUGUCGUGUUUGUUCCUCACUUCCUCCGCGGCUUGGGCCUCACCCUUGAUCCCUUUGUGAGGGGGCUCAUGUUCUACUACGGGUUGGAUUUUCAUGAUCUAGCUCCGGACGCUAUCCUCCAUAUCUCGUCGUUCAUCAUUGUGUGCGAGUCUUUUCUCCACGUCACUCCACACUUUGGCUUAUGGCUCAAGACCUUCAAUGUGAGGCCGAAGAUGAUCGAGGGGCGACAUGCGGAGUGCGGAGGUGCCAUAAUAAGCAGGAACGCCGAUGCCCCAUGGCCAGAGGGUUCUUUCCCAGAAGUAUCUAAUGUAUGGCAACGGAGGUGGUUUUAUGUCACGGCCCCCAGAGGCACAAAGUGGGUGGCGGCCCCGAGUUCCGCUCGGGCCCUCCGUCACAAUUGGAGUCAUGGACCGACGUAG